rnacentral:rRNA from 1 species
AUGGUAGUGCAAAUCAAAAGCCAGACGCCACUACAACCGGAUUGGACAAACCAUAGGGUCUUCUCACUAUACAGGAAGGAAAAACCUAUGAUCAAAAUCAUACAAGUCAAAUUUCAAGUACAGGAAACAUUGCUAACCUUCUACUCCAUUGAUCAGAGUAUGCAUAUUGCAGUUUACUCCUUUCAAACAAAAGCAGGAGAAUGUCAAAGGAGUAUUACCGUUGGAACUCGGUCACCCUUCUCAUUCUUGAAAAUGAAAAGUUCAUUUAUGGUCAACAUCGUACAAGUUUCAAGUUUACAUGGCAUUACAAGCAUUCCACCGUCGAAAGAAACUAUCCAAUUUGCGGCCAUUCCUCACAAACAGAUACAAACUUAUCCGGAAACACGGAAUUUCCUGUCAUUCUGGGAAGAAACAGAGGCUCUUCCAUUUCUCAAACAAUCAUAA